AUGACACCGCUGGACACGCAGCUCGCUCAUCGCUCCAAUAACAGCUGCUUCCUCCGCAUGUCGGCGGUAGAGGAAUUAUUAAAUGCAUAAUUUACUGCGCAACAGCUUCUAGUAAAGACGACAAGCCACAGCACCACCCAGUGACACUAACAGGGAACUGCACUGCAACAAGGCCCCAUGAGCCAACAGCACACCUGCAUGUGAGGUAGUGAAGACACCACGCACACUCAAUGGCAGGUGCCAGGCCAAACUUUGGAUCAGGAGUCAGGAGUAAUAACAA